rnacentral:other from 1 species
UGUCCCCUGCGGUGUUCGUCAGGCUCAUAAUUCUUUGAACCCAUAAGCUUAGGCUUAGGCCGCAACCCUCGAUGUUACUGUUGUGCGCAUCCCUCUGCGGAUGUACCUGAUGUAACUGGGAAGCAGCCCUCUUGAACCCAGGUUCAAGAUAAUGAGUCAACGGCACAGGCGGGGGGCUU